GGGCCCGCACAAGCGGUGGAGCAUGUGGUUUAAUUCGAUGCAACGCGCAGAACCUUACCUGGGUUUGACAUCCUCGGAUCGAUACAGAGAUGUAUUUUCCCUUCGGGGCCGAGUGACAGGUGCUGCAUGGCUGUCGUCAGCUCGUGUCGUGAGAUGUUGGGUUAAGUCCCGCAACGAGCGCAACCCUUAUCCUUAGUUGCCAGCGAGUAAUGUCGGGGACUCUAGGGAGACUGCCGGUGCUAAGCCGGAGGAAGGUGGGGAUGACGUCAAGUCCUCAUGGCCCUUAUACCCAGGGCUACACACGUGCUACAAUGGGCGGUACAGCGAGUCGCGAAGCGGUGACGUGGAGCUAAUCUCGAAAAGCCGUCCUCAGUUCGGAUCGCAGUCUGCAACUCGACUGCGUGAAGUCGGAAUCGCUAGUAA
rnacentral:rRNA from 1 species